ensembl:miRNA Mir882 microRNA 882
CAGCACUACCAUGAGAGAGUUAGCGCAUUAGUGAAAUAGUUAGUCCUGAUUUCUGGGUUUUUCUAAUGGCUGCUCUU